rnacentral:rRNA from 1 species
GACGAACGCUGGCGGCGUGCUUAACACAUGCAAGUCGAACGUGAUUUUUGUGGAAAUUCUUUCGGGAAUGGAAAUGAAAUGAAAGUGGCGAACGGGUGAGUAACACGUGAGCAACCUACCUUACACAGGGGGAUAGCCGUUGGAAACGACGAUUAAUACCGCAUGAGACCACAGAAUCGCAUGAUAUAGGGGUCAAAGAUUUAUCGGUGUAAGAAGGGCUCGCGUCUGAUUAGCUAGUUGGAAGGGUAAAGGCCUACCAAGGCGACGAUCAGUAGCCGGUCUGAGAGGAUGAACGGCCACAUUGGAACUGAGACACGGUCCAAACUCCUACGGGAGGCAGCAGUGGGGAAUAUUGCACAAUGGGGGGAACCCUGAUGCAGCGACGCCGCGUGAGCGAAGAAGGUCUUCGAAUCGUAAAGCUCUGUCCUAUGAGAAGAUAAUGACGGUAUCAUAGGAGGAAGCCCCGGCUAAAUACGUGCCAGCAGCCGCGGUAAUACGUAUGGGGCGAGCGUUGUCCGGAAUUAUUGGGCGUAAAGGGUACGUAGGCGGUUUUUUAAGUCAGGUGUGAAAGCGUGAGGCUUAACCUCAUUAAGCACUUGAAACUGGAAGACUUGAGUGAAGGAGAGGAAAGUGGAAUUCCUAGUGUAGCGGUGAAAUGCGUAGAUAUUAGGAGGAAUACCGGUGGCGAAGGCGACUUUCUGGACUUUUACUGACGCUCAGGUACGAAAGCGUGGGGAGCAAACAGG